GAAUAAAAAAAAGUGGCAUUCAGACCACAAUACCGCAUUUAAGAACCCAGUUAAAAUAACUUUUGCUCAGCUCUUAACCAGCUUAGGGCUUAUUAGUUUAAUUGGUUAUCCAGAAAAUCUAUGCUGAAGAAGUAUUCCCGCUCCAACAUUCCUGAACACUGCUCCCCUGAAAGCUUGUUAGAUUCACAGCUAAUAAACAUGAGACCCUAUUAGCAAAAUUAAGUUAAAGCAAUGAAGUCACAAGGAAACCUGUAAAAGUCAUGUAUGUGUAGAUCCAUACACACAUAUAUAUAUAUAUUUUUCUUUCUCUUCACUAAAAGACAUACUAAAUAAAAACAUUAUCAGUGACACACAAUGACCAGAGUAUAAACAGCAUAAGCUUUAUUUAACUCUAGUCAGGUUCAGAUUGGAAUUCUAGCUCUAGUACUACAUGGCUUUGAGAAAUUCACUUUCCUUGCUGAGCUACAAUUUCUUCAGCGGUAAGGAGUUUUCUCUAAUAACCACAUUUGUUUGAGGACUCACCUAGCUAAUAAAUCACCUAGUAGCAGCUGACACAUAAGUAGUAACUCUAUAUGGUUAGUUCCUUCCCUCCUUUUAAAAUUACUAACUUUUGGGCUGAGCGCAGUGCCUCAGGCCUGUAAUCCCAACACUUUGGCAGGUUGCGGCGGGUGGAUCACCUGAGGUCAGGAGUUACAGAAUACCCCAGCCAACAGGGUGAAACCCCCUAUCUACUAAAAAAUUAGCCAGGUGUGGUGGCACAUGCCUGUAUUCCCAGCUACUUGGGAGGUGGAGACACGAGAAUUGCUUGAACCUGGGAGGUGGAAGUUGCAGUGAGCCGAGACCGAAACACUGCACUCCAAGCAGGGUGACAGAGCAAGACUCUUGUCUCAAAUAAAUAAAUACAUAAAAUAUAAAUACUUUCAAAACACAGUAGUUUCAACCGAUAGGCAGGCAUUUUAUUUUGUUGCCAAAAAGAAAUGAGCCACACUGUUGCCAGAAAUGAGCAUGCUUCAAACAUGCUAAACUCAAACAUGUAAUUUCAAGUUUUACCCUGAAGAGGGGAGUAAAGCCUUAGCAAAGAAUAUAUUUGAGUUAAUCUUGUUCUCACUGUGCUUCUUUCACCUCUUAAAAUCCUACUAUAGAAAAAGGCGGGGGUCUUGGCAACUGGAGGAGUUAGGAGGUGUGGGUGAAGAUGACGGCCGCCGAGGUCGCGAACUGCAUCAUGGAGGUGUCCUGUGGCCAGGCGGAAAGCAGCGAGAAGACGGACGUCGAGAGCAUAACGUCCAAAGAUUACUACUGUGACUCCUACGCCCACUUCAGCAACUCCAUGUUUCACAACCAUCACCUCUUCAAGGACAAGGUAGUGCUGGAUGGGGGCACGGACACAAGCAUCCUCUGCAUGUUCGCCGCCAAGGCCGGGCCCGCAACGUCAUCGGGAUCGAGUGGUUCCACUAGCUCUGAAUAUGCAGUGAAGACUGUCAAAGCCAACAAGUUAGACCACUUGGUGACCAUCAUCAAGGGGAAGGUGGCGGAGGUAGAGCUCCCGGUGGAAAAGGUGGACAUCAUCAUCAGCAAGUGGAUGGGCUAACUGCCUCUUCUAGGAGUCCAUGCUCAACACCGUGCUCCACGCCCCGACAAGUGACUGGCGCCCAAUAAGCCUCAUCUUCCCAGACCGGGCCACACUGUAUGUGACGGUCAUCGAGGACCAGCAGUACAAAGCCUAUAAGAUCCACAGGUGGGAGAACGCUUACGGCUUCGAUGUCUUGCAUCAAAGAUGUGGCCAUCAAGGAGCCCCUAGUGGACCUCAAACAGCUGGUCAACAACACCUGCCUCAUAAAGGAGGUAGACAUCUACACCGUCAAGGUGGAAGACCUGACCUUCACCUCCCCGUUCUGCCUGCAAGUGAAACAGAAUGACUACGUGUACGCCCAGGUGGCCUACUUCAACAUCGAGUUUAUGCACUGCCACAAGAGGACCGGCUUUUUCAUCAGCCCCGAGUCCCUGUACAAGCACUGGAAGCAGAUGGCGUUUUACAUGGAGGACUACCUGACCUUGAAGACAGGCGAGGAGAUCUUCAGCACCAUCGGCAUGUGGCCCAACGCCAAGAACAAUUGGGACCUGGACUUCACCGUCAACCUAAAUUUCAAGGGCCAUCUGUGCAACCUGUCCUGCUCCACAGACUAUAGGAUGCGCUGAGGCCCGACUCUCCUACCCUGCACAGGCCCAGGGGCUGAGCACUCCUAGAUGAUUGUGGGGCUCCCCCUUCCUCUCUCUCCCUCCCUCCGGCAGAGGAAGCUUUAGGGGCCUGGGCUGGGGGGAUGGGGAGGGCACAUCGUGACUGUUUUUCAUGACUUAUGUUUUUAUAUGGUUGCAUUUAUGCCAAUAAAUCUUCAGCUGGGAAAGAACAAAAA